rnacentral:rRNA from 1 species
ACGCGCUAAACCUUACCUGGGUUUGACAUGCACAGGACGCCGGCAGAGAUGUCGGUUCCCUUGUGGCCUGUGUGCAGGUGGUGCAUGGCUGUCGUCAGCUCGUGUCGUGAGAUGUUGGGUUAAGUCCCGCAACGAGCGCAACCCUUGUCCUAUGUUGCCAGCGGGUUAUGCCGGGGACUCGUAGGAGACUGCCGGGGUCAACUCGGAGGAAGGUGGGGAUGACGUCAAGUCAUCAUGCCCCUUAUGUCCA